rnacentral:rRNA from 1 species
GUGACUGCGUACCUUUUGUAUAAUGGGUCAGCGACUUAUAUUCUGUAGCAAGGUUAACCGUCUAGGGGAGCCGCAGGGAAACCGAGUCUUAACGGGGCGUUAAGUUGCAGGGUAUAGACCCGAAACCCGGUGAUCUAGCCAUGGGCAGGUUGAAGGUUGGGUAACACUAACUGGAGGACCGAACCGACUAAUGUUGAAAAAUUAGCGGAUGACUUGUGGCUGGGGGUGAAAGGCCAAUCAAACCGGGAGAUAGCUGGUUCUCCCCGAAAGCUAUUUAGGUAGCGCCUCGUGAAGUCAUCUUCGGGGGUAGAGCACUGUUUCGGCUAGGGGGUCAUCCCGACUUACCAACCCGAUGCAAACUGCGAAUACCGAAGAAUGUUAUCACGGGAGACACACGGCGGGUGCUAACGUCCGUCGUGAAGAGGGAAACAACCCAGACCGCCAGAUAAGGUCCCGAAGUCAUGGUUAAGUGGGAAACGAAGUGGGAAGGCUCAGACAGCCAGGAUGUUGGCUUAGAAGCAGCCAUCAUUUAAAGAAAGCGUAAUAGCUCACUGGUCGAGUCGGCCUGCGCGGAAGAUGUAACGGGGCUAAACCAUGCACCGAAGCUGCGGCAGCGACAUGAAAGUGUUGCUGGGUAGGGGAGCGUUCUGUAAGCCGCAGAAGGUGGCCUGUGAGGGCUGCUGGAGGUAUCAGAAGUGCGAAUGCUGACAUAAGUAACGAUAAAGCGGGUGAAAAACCCGCUCGCCGGAAGACCAAGGGUUCCUGUCCAACGUUAAUCGGGGCAGGGUGAGUCGACCCCUAAGGCGAGGCCGACAGGCGUAGUCGAUGGGCAACAGGUUAAUAUUCCUGUACCCGGUGUGACUGCGAAGGGGGGACGGAGAAGGCUAGGCCAGCCGGGCGACGGUCGUCCCGGUUGAAGCGUGUAGGUGGGUGGUUUUGGAAAAUCCGGACCGCUGAUAACACUGAGGCGUGAUAACGAGGCACUACGGUGCUGAAGUGGUUGAUGCCCUGCUUCCAGGAAAAGCCUCUAAGCAUCAGGUCACAUUGGAUCGUACCCCAAACCGACACAGGUGGUCAGGUAGAGAAUACUCAGGCGCUUGAGAGAACUCGGGUGAAGGAACUAGGCAAAAUGGUGCCGUAACUUCGGGAGAAGGCACGCUGGCGCCAGGUGAAGGAACGAGCUUCCGGAGCCGAGGCCAGUCGCAGAUACCAGCUGGCUGCAACUGUUUAAUAAAAACACAGCACUGUGCAAACACGCAAGUGGACGUAUACGGUGUGACGCCUGCCCGGUGCUGGAAGGUUAAUUGAUGGGGUUAUCGCGUUGCGAGAAGCUCUUGAUCGAAGCCCCAGUAAACGGCGGCCGUAACUAUAACGGUCCUAAGGUAGCGAAAUUCCUUGUCGGGUAAGUUCCGACCUGCACGAAUGGCGUAAUGAUGGCCAGGCUGUCUCCACCCGAGACUCAGUGAAAUUGAACUCGCUGUGAAGAUGCAGUGUACCCGCGGCAAGACGGAAAGACCCCGUGAACCUUUACUAUAGCUUGACACUGAACCUUGAGCCUUGAUGUGUAGGAUAGGUGGGAGGCCUGGAAGUGCGGACGCCAGUCUGCACGGAGCCAACCUUGAAAUACCACCCUUGAAUGUUUGAUGUUCUAACGCAGGCCCGUGAUCCGGGUUGCGGACAGUGUCUGGUGGGUAGUUUGACUGGGGCGGUCUCCUCCCAAAGCGUAACGGAGGAGCACGAAGGUUAGCUAAUCACGGUCGGACAUCGUGAGGUUAGUGCAAUGGCAUAAGCUGGCUUGACUGCGAGAGUGACAGCUCGAGCAGGUGCGAAAGCAGGUCAUAGUGAUCCGGUGGUUCUGCAUGGAAGGGCCAUCGCUCAACGGAUAAAAGGUACUCCGGGGAUAACAGGCUGAUACCGCCCAAGAGUUCAUAUCGACGGCGGUGUUUGGCACCUCGAUGUCGGCUCAUCACAUCCUGGGGCUGAAGCAGGUCCCAAGGGUACGGCUGUU